UACGUAGGGUGCAAGCGUUGUCCGGAAUUAUUGGGCGUAAAGAGCUCGUAGGCGGUUUGUCGCGUCUGCUGUGAAAACUCGGGGCUUAACCCCGGGCCUGCAGUGGGUACGGGCAGACUAGAGUGCGGUAGGGGAGACUGGAAUUCCUGGUGUAGCGGUGGAAUGCGCAGAUAUCAGGAGGAACACCGAUGGCGAAGGCAGAUCUCUGGGCCGUAACUGACGCUGAGGAGCGAAAGCGUGGGGAGCAAACAGG
rnacentral:rRNA from 1 species